UGGCCCCUACGGGGCGCAGCAGUGAGGAAUAUUGGUCAAUGGGCGAGAGCCUGAACCAGCCAAGUCGCGUGAGGGAGUACUGCCCUAUGGGUUGUAAACCUCUUUUGUCGGGGAGCAAAAGCCGGACGUGUCCGGCUGUGAGAGUACCCGAAGAAAAAGCAUCGGCUAACUCCGUGCCAGCAGCCGCGGUAAUACGGAGGAUGCGAGCGUUAUCCGGAUUUAUUGGGUUUAAAGGGUGCGUAGGCGGGAUGCCAAGUCAGCGGUAAAAAUGCGGUGCUCAACGCCGUCGAGCCGUUGAAACUGGG
rnacentral:rRNA from 1 species